UACAGAGGUCUCGAGCGUUAGGCGGAAUCACUGGGCUUAAAGCGUGUGUAGGCGGAUCGUUAAGUGCCUUGUGAAAUCCCACGGCUCAACCGUGGAACUGCUUGGCAUACUGGCGGUCUUGAGCAACCUAGGGGCGAGCGGAACAAAUGGUGGAGCGGUGAAAUGCGUAGAUAUCAUUUGGAACGCCAAUGGUGAAAACAGGUAACUGGGGCUGUGCCGACGCUGAGACACGAAAGCCAGGGGAGCGAACGGG
rnacentral:rRNA from 1 species